rnacentral:rRNA from 1 species
GGCUCAGGACGAACGCUGGCGGCGUGCUUAACACAUGCAAGUCGAACGAUGACGGUGGUGCUUGCACCGCCUGAUUAGUGGCGAACGGGUGAGUAACACGUGAGUAACCUGCCCUCCACUUCGGGAUAACCUCGGGAAAUCGUGGCUAAUACCGGAUAUGAGCACUCAUCGCAUGGUGGGUGUUGGAAAGAUUUAUCGGUGGGGGAUGGACUCGCGGCCUAUCAGUUUGUUGGUGAGGUGAUGGCUCACCAAGACGAUGACGGGUAGCCGGCCUGAGAGGGCGACCGGCCACACUGGGACUGAGACACGGCCCAGACUCCUACGGGAGGCAGCAGUGGGGAAUAUUGCACAAUGGGCGAAAGCCUGAUGCAGCGACGCCGCGUGGGGGAUGACGGCCUUCGGGUUGUAAACCCCUUUCAGUAGGGAAGAAGCGAGAGUGACGGUACCUGCAGAAGAAGCGCCGGCUAACUACGUGCCAGCAGCCGCGGUAAUACGUAGGGCGCAAGCGUUGUCCGGAAUUAUUGGGCGUAAAGAGCUUGUAGGUGGCUUGUCGCGUCUGCCGUGAAAACCCGAGGCUCAACCUCGGGCGUGCGGUGGGUACGGGCAGGCUAGAGUGUGGUAGGGGAGACUGGAACUCCUGGUGUAGCGGUGAAAUGCGCAGAU